UACGUAGGGUCCGAGCGUUGUCCGGAAUUACUGGGCGUAAAGAGCUCGUAGGUGGUUUGUCGCGUUGUCCGUGAAAACUCACAGCUUAACUGUGGGCGUGCGGGCGAUACGGGCAGACUGGAGUACUGCAGGGGAGACUGGAAUUCCUGGUGUAGCGGUGGAAUGCGCAGAUAUCAGGAGGAACACCGGUGGCGAAGGCGGCUUGCUGGGCCUUACCUGACGCUGAGGAGCGAAAGCGUGGGGAGCGAACAGG
rnacentral:rRNA from 1 species